rnacentral:rRNA from 1 species
UGGGGAAUAUUGCGCAAUGGGGGAAACCCUGACGCAGCCACGCCGCGUGAGUGAUGAAGGCCUUCGGGUUGUAAAGCUCUGUCGAGGGGGAAGAAGUUCUGACGGUACCCCUCAAGGAAGCGCCGGCUAACCCUGUGCCAGCAGCCGCGGUAAUACAGGGGGCGCGAGCGUUGCUCGGAAUUACUGGGCGUAAAGCGUACGCAGGCGGAACGCAAAGUCGGAUGUGAAAUCCCGAGGCUCAACCUCGGAACUGCAUUCGAUACUGGCGUUCUAGAGUACGGGAGAGGUGGGUGGAAUUCCUGGUGUAGAGGUGAAAUUCGUAGAUAUCAGGAGGAACACCGGUGGCGAAAGCGGCCCACUGGCCCGAUACUGACGCUCAUGUACGAAAGCGUGGGGAGCA